rnacentral:rRNA from 1 species
GUAGGUGGCAAGCGUUGUCCGGAAUUAUUGGGCGUAAAGCGCGCGCAGGCGGUUCUUUAAGUCUGAUGUGAAAGCCCACGGCUCAACCGUGGAGGGUCAUUGGAAACUGGAGAACUUGAGUACAGAAGAGGAAAGCGGAAUUCCACGUGUAGCGGUGAAAUGCGUAGAGAUGUGGAGGAACACCCGUGGCGAAGGCGGCUUUCUGGUCUGUAACUGACGCUGAGGCGCGAAAGCGUGGGGAGCAAACAGGGAUUAGAUACCCUGGUAGUCCACGCCGUAAACGAUGAGUGCUAAGUGUUAGGGGGUUUCCGCCCCCUUAGUGCUGCAGCUAACGCAUUAAGCACUCCGCCUGGGGAGUACGGCCGCAAGGCUG